AUGCCAGCCAGAGCAUCACUAAAAAGAAGUGAAACAAAGAAAUUGCAUUUGAUGGCCAUUGUGGUUACAUGGAGCUACCCAGGGCUGGACAGAGCAUGGAUUCCACCAGCACACUCCGCCUGUGGCUGUUCUGCCUGCUGCUCAGUGCUGCAGUCCCAAAACCCACCUGUGAUCCCAGUGCCUGCCCAGUCUGCCCCGAGCCAGGACCUGGGGGCUGCUGCCCGUCAUGCAUGCCAGCCUGUGCCUGCCCACCCUACCUGCAGGAUGACUGCGAGAUGCAAGGCUUCAGUGACAGACACGUCCCCACCGGCAGGUCCUUCUACAUCGACUUCGCCCGCAAGCUGUGCACUUGCCAGCCCAGUGGGGACAUCACCUGCAGCUCGCGCUGUGACCCCGUGCCUGCUUCCUGCCAGGCUGUGGGCAGCCCAGUGGCCGAUGGCUGUCCCCGCUGUGUCUGCUAUGAUGAGGAGGAGGUGGCGGUGCUCGCUGGCUCCGUGGUGCCCCGAGGUGGCCAGCUCUGCACCUGCCCUCCCCAGGGCGGCCAACUGCAGUGCAGUGAUGGGGGUGAGGCAUGAGCUGCUCCAAGGGCAGUGGGACUGGAGGCUUGCAGGGAGCUUCUGCUCCUUCAGGCCUCUUCACUGGAAUGCAUUCGAGGCUUCAAACUGUCCCAUCGUGCAGGGAGAUGCUGUGCUGUUGCAUCUAAGCAUCUUCUUGGUGGUGGGCAGAGAGGUUGGGUUGGUUGCUGAUGGCACUGCAAUGAACCAAACUGCAGUUAUUUAUUUAUUUGUGAGAUGAUUGUGCUUUUGUGCGUCUAUGUUUAUAUAGUGUGUGGAUAAGUGUGUCUUAAAUAAGUCAACAGAUUAGAGACAAGCUCUCCCCUUCCUGCUGCUGGAAACAGUAGGAUGUGCGCUCUGAAUGCUCUGAAGUGUGUGUUGUAUGUAUUUAUAUCCUCAUAUAUAUAUGCAGGGAGACUGUAAUCAAGCACAGCUCCAUCAGGCUGAUGUUAGCAAAUGUCAGCUAUAUUCAUGGGGUUGAAUAAAAUCAGUGUUACCAAUGAAUGUGUGAAAUCU
rnacentral:lncRNA from 1 species